UGUUCUUAUUUAUAGACCUCAAGAGAAAUAAAGAUUUCAGGAGCUAUUGGACCCUGUGUGUCUCUUAACUCUAAAGGACCCUGCGUGUCUGAAAACGAGAUUGGAACAGGCGGCACUUGUCAGUGGAAGAUAUGUGGACUCAGUCCCACUACAACCUUAGCCAUGUAUUUUGAAGUUGUUAAUCAGCACAAUGCUCCAAUUCCUCAAGGAGGACGAGGUGCAGUCCAGUUUGUCACCCAGUAUCAGCACUCAAGUGGGCAGAGACGUAUCCGAGUGACCACAAUUGCUAGGAAGUAAG